rnacentral:rRNA from 1 species
CCUACGGGUGGCAGCAGUGGGGAAUAUUGCACAAUGGGGGAAAGCCUGAUGCAGCGACGCCGCGUGAGUGAAGAAGUACCUCGGUACGUAAAGCUCUAUCAGCAGGGAAGAAAAUGACGGUACCUGACUGUGAAGCUCUGGCUAACUACGGGCCAGCAGCCGCGGGAAUACGUAGGGGGCAAGCGUGAUCUGGUUUUACUGGGUGUAACGUGAGCGGAGACGGCUGUGCAAGUCUGGAGUGAAAGCCCUGGGCUUAACCCCGGGACUGCUGUGGAAACUGGACGACUGGAGUGCAGGAGGGGAAAGCAGAAUUCCUGGUGUAGCGGUGAAAUGCGUAGAUAUCAGGAGGAACACCGGUAGCGAAGGCGGCUUUCUGGCUUGUAACUGACGCUGAGGUGCGAAAGCGUGGGUAGCAAACAGGAUUAGAUACCCUGGUAGUC